rnacentral:rRNA from 1 species
UACAGAGGUCUCAAGCGUUGUUCGGAUUCAUUGGGCGUAAAGCGCACGUAGGCGGGUUGUUAAGUCGGGGGUGAAAUCCUGGAGCUCAACUCCAGAACUGCCUUCGAUACUGGCGGCCUUGAGUCCGGGAGAGGUGAGUGGAACUCCGAGUGUAGAGGUGAAAUUCGUAGAUAUUCGGAAGAACACCAGUGGCGAAGGCGGCUCACUGGCCCGGUACUGACGCUGAGGUGCGAAAGCGUGGGGAGCAAACAGG